rnacentral:rRNA from 1 species
GUCUAUAGCCAGAUCACCUUGAAUGUGUUUGAUCUUGUCUUAUCUCAGAAGCUAAGCCAGAUCAGACCUGGUUAGUACUUGGAUGAGAGACUGCAUGUCAAUACCACAUGUCAUAAGCU